AUUGAACGCUGGCGGCAGGCCUAACACAUGCAAGUCGAACGAGUGGCGGACGGGUGAGUAAUGUCUGGGAAAAUGCCUGAUGGAGGGGGAUAACUACUGGAAACGGUAGCUAAUACCGCAUACCAUCAGAUGUGCCCAGAUGGGAUUAGCUUGUUGGUGGGGUAACGGCUCACAAGGGCAACGAUCCCUAGCUGGUCUGAGAGGAUGAGCAGCCACACUGUAACUGAGACACGGUCCAGACUCCUACGGGAGGCAGUAGUGGGGAAUAUUGCACAAGGGGCGCAAGCCUGAUGCAGCCAUGCCGCGUGUAUGAAGAAGGCCUUCGGGUUGUAAAGUACUUUCAGCGUGGAGGCGUUACCCGCAGAAGAAGCACCGGCUAACUCCGUGCCAGCAGCCGCGGUAAUAC
rnacentral:rRNA from 1 species